AACGAACGCUGGCGGCAUGCCUAACACAUGCAAGUCGAACGAGAUCUUCGGGUCUAGUGGCGCACGGGUGCGUAACGCGUGGGAAUCUGCCCUUUGGUUCGGAAUAACAGUUGGAAACGACUGCUAAUACCGGAUGAUGACGAAAGUCCAAAGAUUUAUCGCCAGAGGAUGGGCCUGCGUAGGAUUAGCUAGUUGGUGUGGUAAAGGCGGACCAAGGCGACGAUCCUUAGCUGGUCCGGGAGUCUGAUCAGCCACACUGGGACUGAGACACGGCCCAGAAUCCUGGGGGAGGCAGCAGUGGGGAAUAUUGGAAAAUGGGCGAAAGCCUGAUCCAGCAAUGCCGCGUGAGUGAUGAAGGCCUUAGGGUUGUAAAGCUCUUUUACCCGGGAUGAUAAUGACGGUACCGGGAGAAUAAGCUCCGGCUAACUCCGUGCCAGCCGCCGCCGUAACAC
rnacentral:rRNA from 1 species